UACGUAGGCAGCGAGCGUUGUUCGGAGUUACUGGGCGUAAAGGGUGUGUAGGCGGUUGUUUAAGUUUGGUGUGAAAUCUCCCGGCUCAACUGGGAGGGUGCGCCGAAUACUGAGCGACUAGAGUGCGGGAGAGGAAAGUGGAAUUCCUGGUGUAGCGGUGAAAUGCGUAGAUAUCUGGAGGAACACCGGUGGCGAAGGCGGCUUUCUGGACAAAUACCGACGCUGAGGCACGAAAGCUAGGGGAGCAAACAGG
rnacentral:rRNA from 1 species